CGUGUUAGGGCCUUCGAUCGACACUGCAACAUGGUGCUGGAAAACAUUAGGGAAAUGUGGACUGAGGUUGCUUCUUCUCUCGAAAUAACUUAUCUAGCACUUUUUUUAAUUCCAUUUUCGAAAUAACUUAUUAGCAAGAUGUUUCUUCGAGGUGACUCCGCUAUCAUUGUGCUUAGAAACCCCAAGUGAGAGGGUCACCACCUCAAUGUGAUCUGGCUCUGCCUGUUUCAACAUGUACCCAAUAGUAGGUACUUUAACCCAACAUGUUAGAUGUCCAGCAUGAUGGAGGUGUAAGUAUGGGCUCCAGAAUGUGAUGCAUCAUUGCAUUGGGCUAGAGAUGGAUCACUUUGUAUAAGGCAUGGGCCGAUUGAUUCUUAAAACUCUAAUAUGCAUCGUGGACUAUGAGCUUGCUAUUGGCCUUUACUCUUUCUAGGACGUUUGUUUUCAAAAGUUGUAAAAAGUAUUAGGUGACUGAAUAUAAUUGUAAAUAUAUUACUACUUUAAAUACCUUAGGUUGAUGUUGGGUUUGGAGUUG